GUAGGUGGCGAGCGUUGUCCGGAAUUAUUGGGCGUAAAGCGCGCGCAGGCGGGUUUUUUAAGGUCUGAUGUGAAAGCCCACGGGCUCAACCGUGGAGGGUCACUGGAAACUGGAGAACUUGAGUACAGAAGAGGAAAGCGGAAUUCCACGUGUAGCGGUGAAAUGCGUAGAGAUGUGGAGGAACACCAGUGGCGAAGGCGGCUUUCUGGUCUGUAACUGACGCUGAGGCGCGAAAGCGUGGGGAGCAAACAGGAUUAGAUACCCUGGUAGUCCACGCCGUAAACGAUGAGUGCUAAGUGUUAGGGGGUUUCCGCCCCUUAGUGCUGCAGCUAACGCAUUAAGCACUCCGCCUGGGGAGUACGGCCGCAAAGGCUG
rnacentral:rRNA from 1 species